AUCCUGGGCAAGAUAGGGGUUCCAGACCGGUGAUGCAAAUUCCAGGUGAGGUCGUACCAUAGCUAUAUAAAGCCGCAGAUAGAUAGCCGGAGAGCAGCUCACAAAGGACUUGGUGACUAAUUAUUAUGACUAAUAAUAGUGAUGGCAUCAUUCAUUUUAAGACAAAUUCUUGUUAAAGUGGAAUUGACAUCAUAAAACUCCAUGCGUAUCUUCUCUCAUCAUGGUUUUUCUCUUUGUGAGGCAAUAUUUUUUAUGGUCAGAUACAUUUCCUAUUGUCUACUCCAGUUGCCUCUUAAAACACAAGGGUAUAGUGUUCAAUAUCCCUGCAGGUUGUAACAGAACUCUAAAAAGUGUUGUAUUCUAAAACCACGAUAACAUUCAUGUCCGAAACUUAAUUCCAUUAAAGACAUUCCCCACUACCAUCUCUGCCUCCCUGACAAAAAAUGUAUGACUCGUGCCUCUCUAACAAAUUAUGGAAUCACACGCAGACUGGACAAAGACAUCAACAUCACGUACCCAGCUGUAAACAAGUACAAUCUGCUUGUUGACAGUGGGAGCACUUUACAGCUAACAAGUGUUUUUGUCAGUUUCUAGUAUUGAAUUCAAGUCAUCUUUAGAGAGUCUUUAGUAGACAGUUAAAAACCUUAUGUAGGGUGUCUUCAAAUGGUUAUGAAGUGUACAGAAUCUCUGAAACAGAACUUCAAAUACUUGUUUUUCAUUUGAAAUUUAUAUUUUGUAUAUUUUUAUUUGUUGAAUCAUAAAAAAAUGUUGAAACUGGGUACUGCUGCUGCCUUCGAGAAAACCACUCAAUGCUGAGCUUUUAUAUCAUCACAAGUUCUUUCUUUAAUUCUUUUUGAUAGUUUUAAAACUGGAAGUGUUUAAGACUGUCUUUAUACCAUGAUACAUUUAGAGGAAUGUUCAAUGCAAUAACCACUUUGUAAAUUAGUUUUAGACAAGCCAUGAGAAUUCUGUAGCUUCACUUCUUCAUAGUGUAUGCCACAUCGCUCUUGGACAUUGAUCCCCUCUCCCACCAACUUGUGAGCAAAUUUCCCUCUGGGCUGUACAAGAUGACAUUGUAUGUACCAGCUGUGAGACAGUGCAUAGUUCUUUGUUUUGCAUAAGCUCAUGGAUAUACGUCAUACUGGCCUGACUUACGGGGUUAUAGAAAAAAAGUACAGUGACAGGUUUGACAGAAACAGUGUCCUGCAAAAUUUUAGCCAUCUCUGAUUGUCUGGCUGACAAGUGGCAGAGGAUUGAUACAGCGACUUGUUUGAUAUAUGGUCAGCUUAAGAACUGUUAAAAGCCUUGCGCAGAAGUCAAGUAUUCAUGCCAUGUAGUGAGCAUUGU